GGACGGCUAAAUACGUGCCAGCAGCCGCGGUAAUACGUAUGUCCCGAGCGUUAUCCGGAUUUAUUGGGCGUAAAGCGAGCGCAGACGGUUGAUUAAGUCUGAUGUGAAAGCCCGGAGCUCAACUCCGGAAUGGCAUUGGAAACUGGUUAACUUGAGUGCAGUAGAGGUAAGUGGAACUCCAUGUGUAGCGGUGGAAUGCGUAGAUAUAUGGAAGAACACCAGUGGCGAAGGCGGCUUACUGGACUGUAACUGACGUUGAGGCUCGAAAGUGUGGGUAGCAAACAGGAUUAGAUACCCUGGUAGUCCACACCGUAAACGAUGAACACUAGGUGUUAGGAGGUUUCCGCCUCUUAGUGCCGAAGCUAACGCAUUAAGUGUUCCGCCUGGGGAGUACGACCGCAAGGUUGAAACUCAAAGGAAUUGACGGGGACCCGCACAAGCGGUGGAGCAUGUGGUUUAAUUCGAAGCAACGCGAAGAACCUUACCAGGUCUUGACAUCCUUUGAAGCUUUUAGAGAUAGAAGUGUUCUCUUCGGAGACAAAGUGACAGGUGGUGCAUGGUCGUCGUCAGCUCGUGUCGUGAGAUGUUGGGUUAAGUCCCGCAACGAGCGCAACCCUUAUUGUUAGUUGCCAGCAUUCAGAUGGGCACUCUAGCGAGACUGCCGGUGACAAACCGGAGGAAGGCGGGGACGACGUCAGAUCAUCAUGCCCCUUAUGACCUGGGCUACACACGUGCUACAAUGGCGUAUACAACGAGUUGCCAACCCGCGAGGGUGAGCUAAUCUCUUAAAGUACGUCUCAGUUCGGAUUGUAGUCUGCAACUCGACUACAUGAAGUCGGAAUCGCUAGUAAUCGCGGAUCAGCACGCCGCGGUGAAUACGUUCCCGGGUCUUGUACACACCGCCCGUCACACCAUGGGAGUUUGUAAUGCCCAAAGCCGGUGGCCUAACCUUUGGAAGGAGCCGUCUAAGCAGACAAAA
rnacentral:rRNA from 1 species